rnacentral:rRNA from 1 species
UACGGAGGGUGCAAGCGUUAUCCGGAUUCACUGGGUUUAAAGGGAGCGUAGGUGGGCUGGUAAGUCAGUGGUGAAAUCUCACAGCUUAACUGUGAAACUGCAUUGGAUACUAUUCGGCUUGAGAGUUGGAGGGGGGACUGGAAUUCUCGGUGUAGCAGUGAAAUGCGUAGAUAUCGAGAGGAACACCAGUGGCGAAGGCGAGUCCCUGGACAACUUCUGACGCUGAGGCACGAAAGCUAGGGGAGCAAACAGG